rnacentral:lncRNA from 1 species
GCACGGCUUGAAAUGGUCUGCUAAAUAAAAAGUAGAUACACGUGUUCAAUAGUAAUGAAAUAGACCUGUGUAGAAGUUGUUACCCUACAAAAACGACAACAACCUGAGAAGUUAUGAUAUUCACUUAACUUAUUUUUGUGCAUCAUUCAAAAGCUCCAAAACAGUCAUAUAAUAAACAUUAUGGUCUCAAGUUAUUGCUUCCCAUUGUCAUAUAAGUAUUCUUUAAUUCAUUAGUGUGCAAUUCGUAUAUACAAAUAUGACAAAAGACAGUCAAGUUACUUAUAAAAGUUGAAUCUAAAGAUGAAGUGUUCUCUAAGUUUUGAAUCACAAUGCUAAAUCUAGAAUUUAUAUCCAAGAAUAACUACUUAAUACAAUACCAUAAUCAGUACACAAAACAGAACACUAAGAUUUUUUUUGCAUGAAAAAGGCACCCAAAAUUUAAAAGGUUUGAUAAAGGUAUGUGAGAUUGUAUCUAAAGGACUUGAAAAUCUUUAAAUCAACCCCUCCUCUUACUUUGUUCUUCUUGUUGUUCUGCUUCUAAAGUGUUCACUUUAAGGACAACAUGUAAGGAGUAAGCUGGCAGUGUUGAAACUCUCUUCCCAAUAGCAGUUUUAUAGAUGCUCGAUCUGGAGAUAAGUUAAUUGGCAUAUUAGUAUACUUAAUUUUGGUACAAAGAACUUGGAGAACAUUAAAGUAGGUAAUAAUUACAUGAACUAUACUUAGAACUCGAAGUCUACAAUAAUAGUUAAGUAGUAGAAUGAGGAAGAGACUAUGCAAAUCAGUAGAGGCCAAAUGUACAGCACAAUUUGUAAGGUUUUAGUAUAACAAUUUAAUGCAGUGUUCGUCCUCAAGCUUGUUUACUUACGGAAACCUUACAAGUAUUUGAGAAGGUAAACAAAAGGGUAGGUUUUUAUCUUGUUAUUCUGAAAUUCUCUUAAUAUCUGAUUUCCACAUAAAGAUACAUGAGUUUCAACCUUUUGAGUAUCAAUUCAUCUAUAAGGAGGCUUAUGUAAAGUUCAUUUGAUGAAUCUACGUAUUCUUGAGGGAGUUUUCCUAGCCAGACCACUAAUGGUGAUCUCUCUUACAUGGGUCCUUUUUUCUCAAUUCCUUUUUUCCCUUCCGGCUUCAUCCAUAUAUAAUCUUAAAUAUAUUUUGAUCAAAGUUCCUUUGGGAAAGUCAAUUGUCAAAUUCAAAAUCUAAUGAAAAUGAAUGUGUCAUCAAUUAUGUUGCUCGAACUCUUUAAAAAUGUCAACGGAUGCAUGUCAGAUUCAGUGGCGUAUGCAGGAUUUUUCAUAAGCGGUGUCACCUUUUAAAAUGAGAAAAUAAAUAAAAUAAUAUAAACCAUAUUUUUAAAAAAACACAAAUAAAACACAAUUCAUGUAUAUUAUUAUAGUUUUUUUCAAUUGAGUUUUUUUUUAUGAAAUGUAUUUAAAUUAAUCUCCUUGAUAAUAUUAUACUAAGUUUUUGUUUAUACAAACAACAUACCAAAUAAUUACUAAACAAAGAAGGUCAGAGAAAAAAAAACAUAAAAAACGAAGCUAUGUAGGAUUGAACACGCAACCUAGCCUAAGGAAUUUCAGCACAAAACCAACUAAGCUACGUACUUCUAUCGUUCUAGCAGUUUCACUUGUAUUAUAUACACGCUAUAUUUGCUUUUGUUUCUUAACCUAUUUAGCAUUUUUUUCCGACGAAGCAGUGUCACGUGACACCCCUUUUCCCUUACUAAAUCCACCCUUGACUCAGAUUCUCCAAAAGUAGGGUAUUUUUAGAGAAUCCGACACAAGUGCGGUGCGGCAUCAUCAGUGAAGAGUCCGCACAACGUAAGUCAUCCAUACUCCCAUUGAUACAAUAACAAAUAAAUUGAUAUCACAAUCGACUAUAUAAUUAUAAUAGAAAAGCAAGCAUGCAUAAUCACAUAAAAACAAAAGAAACUGAAUAUACCAAACAAUUUAGAGAGAUCCAGAAGAGAAGAGUAACCGGGAAAAAAGCUAACCUUUUGCUGCGCUAAUUAGUUGAAGUUCCUAAAUACUACUUCUAAAAAGAUCAUAUUUGUACCUUGUGAGAAUUCUAAUAAAAAACUUAUCACAUAUAUGAAUUUGUACGAAUAAGAACACACAAGUGUAUAUGUCUGUCAAAUAAACCUAAACUCUGCUUUUUCACAAUAUCAAUAAUUAAAAAUACAAACUUCUUAUUACAUGUUCAAAGAAAAGAAAUGGAAACCUCAUUUGCACACCAAAAAUAAAUACAACAACAACACAGUAUAGUCAUAAUUGAGCACAAGCAUGUACAAAAGCAACUAAGCGAAGAGGCAAAAGUACAAAACAAUCGGAUCUAACAUCAAUUAGCCGAUGAAGUAAUUGAAAGUAAUACCAUAAUUCUGGUUUUUACGAAAUUUGAUGCCAAAGAUUCAAAAAUAACAUGCAUCAAAUAAUAAACCACUUACCCAUGAAACUAAAGUUCAUAUAGAAUCCAAGAAAAAUUCACAAACAGAUGUUCAGAGCAAAGAAAAAAAUUGUAAUAAAAAUAUAUAAAAAACGCAGAGGAAAAAUUUAAAUCCCUAGAAUAGAAAUCCAUACCAAUGAAUAAAUAAGUUACAAAUCUAAAUUGUUUAUAUACAUCCAUGUACGUAGAUGUUGGUAGGGGUAGAUGCAUAUAAAAAGGCUACAUGUAAAUGGUCCCUUAUAUAGAUUCACCAAGAUGGUGAAUAGCUUAAAUAAGGAUUGUGCUUGUUGUUCUUUCAUGUAAUAUUUAUAUCCAUUUAUGAAGAAUCUAAGUUAUACCGUGUGAAAUCUCUUUCUAAUAUCAAAUCCGAAAGCAAAAUGCUCAAAGUACUCAAAAUGUCAACAAUCACGAAGGUGAAAUACUCUAAAAUAUGAAAUCAAACUUCAUGAUUUGAGACAAACUUCAAAACAUAAUCACUUUUUCACACACUAACCACCACCAAUAUACUAAUCCUAUUUAUAAGCCCAUAAAAAAUCUCAUAUAAUAUUUAACUUUGAAAAAAACGAACAAAGCUCACAGCUAAAAACAUCAAAUUUAAGGUAGUUUUUUACAAAAUAAUGGGUUAAAAUCAAACCUUGAUGAAGAGAAGUGAUGGUUAAGCUUUGAAGUGUCGAUACGGCAGCCAUGGUUGCAAGAAAUUGAAGAAAUUGUGGGUUCUCUGCAUGGAGAUGGCUAAUAUGAAGGGAGAGUGAGAAAGAUGAAUCUGAAACAGAGCACAUAGAGACUCAAUUAGUGUUUGCUUCAAACUAAUGACAGUAAACAAAUUAAGGUGGGGGAUUUCUGUACAUUAAAAAAAUAAUUUGGAAACAUACAUGAGUAAAUAAAAUCUAAUUAGGAACUUGACAUUACAAAAUUCUACAAUAAACUACUGAAAAAGCAGAAAAUGCAUAAUAAAAGAAAUGGAAACAAAAUACCCUACAAAUUAUGACUAUCAAAAAUGUAAACUUGCAAAAGAAUAAAGAGAUAAGUGAGAAGAAUAAGAAGGGCAAAACCAAUUUCAAGCAUCCAUGAGUAGUUUAAACCAAUUUAGGAACAUGCAAGAAGUAAAUCCUACAAUAACACAUUCAGAAAUCAGAAAAUCUAAUAAAAAAGACCCCAAGAACCGGAAACAAAUACCCAUUAGGAAUUGAAGGAUAAAAGUAGGUAUUUCAGGAUUAUAUUAUAGAAUAAACAUAAAUCUUUGAAGAGAAAAAAUAGAUGAAAAGGGGCAAAUACUCACCAGUUUGAAGCGUGAAAAGAGAGAGAGAGGAAUGGAGAAUAUGUUUUGAUGAAAAGGGGGAGCUACUUUUAGUUCUUUCCAUGUGGGUAUAAAGUGA